GACGAACGCUGGCGGCGUGCUUAACACAUGCAAGUCGAACGGACAGGCCCUGCUUUUGUGGGGUGCUCGAGUGGCGAACGGGUGAGUAACACGUGAGUAACCUGCCCUUGACUUUGGGAUAACUUCAGGAAACUGGGGCUAAUACCGGAUAGGAGCUCCUGCUGCAUGGUGGGGGUUGGAAAGUUUCGGCGGUUGGGGAUGGACUCGCGGCUUAUCAGCUUGUUGGUGGGGUAGUGGCUUACCAAGGCUUUGACGGGUAGCCGGCCUGAGAGGGUGACCGGCCACAUUGGGACUGAGAUACGGCCCAGACGCCUACGGGAGGCAGCAGUGGGGAAUAUUGCACAAUGGGCGGAAGCCUGAUGCAGCAACGCCGCGUGCGGGAUGACGGCCUUCGGGUUGUAAACCGCUUUCGCCUGUGACGAAGCGGGAGUGACGGUAAUGGGUAAAGAAGCACCGGCUAACUACGUG
rnacentral:rRNA from 1 species